UACGAAGGUGGCAAGCGUUGUUCGGAUUUACUGGGCGUACAGGGAGCGUAGGCGGUUGGGUAAGCCCUUCGUGAAAUCUCCGGGCCUAACCCGGAAAGUGCGGAGGGGACUGCUCGGCUAGAGGAUGGGAGAGGAGCGCGGAAUUCCCGGUGUAGCGGUGAAAUGCGUAGAGAUCGGGAGGAAGGCCGGUGGCGAAGGCGGCGCUCUGGAACAUUUCUGACGCUGAGGCUCGAAAGCGUGGGGAGCAAACAGGA
rnacentral:rRNA from 1 species